rnacentral:rRNA from 1 species
AUUGAACGCUGGCGGCAGGCCUAACACAUGCAAGUCGAGCGGAGCGGCGGACGGGUGAGUAAUACCUAGGAAUCUGCCUGGUAGUGGGGGAUAACGUUCGGAAACGGACGCUAAUACCGCAUACUAUCAGAUGAGCCUAGGUCGGAUUAGCUAGUUGGUGGGGUAAAGGCCUACCAAGGCGACGAUCCGUAACUGGUCUGAGAGGAUGAUCAGUCACACUGGAACUGAGACACGGUCCAGACUCCUACGGGAGGCAGCAGUGGGGAAUAUUGGACAAUGGGCGAAAGCCUGAUCCAGCCAUGCCGCGUGUGUGAAGAAGGUCUUCGGAUUGUAAAGCACUUUAAGUUGGGAGGCGUUACCAACAGAAUAAGCACCGGCUAACUUCGUGCCAGCAGCCGCGGUAAUUC